CGCCCACAUUCGCCGUUACAAGAUGGCGCUGACAGCUGUGUUCUAAGUGGUAAACAAAUAAUCUGCGCAUGUGCCGAGGGUGGUUCUCCACUCCAUGUGCUCUGCCUUCCCCGUGACGUCAACUCGGCCGAUGGGCUGCAGCCAAUCAGGGAGUGACACGUCCUAGGCGAAGGAUAAUUCUCCUUAAUAGGGACGGGGUUUCGUUUUCUCUCUCUCUUGCUUCUUACACUCUUGCUCCUGAAGAUGUAAGCAAUAAAGUUUUGCCGCAGAAGAUUCUGGUUUGCUGUGUUCUUCCUGGCCGGGCGUGAGAACGCAUUAAUAACAAUUGGUGCCGAAAUCCGGGACGAGAAAUUCCGGGACGAGAAAAAAUCCGGGAAGAAAAAACCCGGGAGGAAACUCGGGACGGGAGUUUCACCGGCGCAAGGAAGAUCCCUCAUUCCAGAACCAGAACUGCGGGUCGCGGUAAUAAAGGUUCCCGUAAAGCAGACUGUUAAGAAGGAUUCAACUGCAUGAAUUCAGAACUUUUCAGCUGGGGAACGCGC
rnacentral:lncRNA from 1 species